rnacentral:rRNA from 1 species
UACGUAGGGUGCAAGCGUUGUCCGGAAUUAUUGGGCGUAAAGAGCUCGUAGGCGGUCUGUUGCGUCGGCUGUGAAAACCCGGGGCUCAACUCCGGGCCUGCAGUCGAUACGGGCAGACUAGAGUUCGGCAGGGGAGACUGGAAUUCCUGGUGUAGCGGUGGAAUGCGCAGAUAUCAGGAGGAACACCGGUGGCGAAGGCGGGUCUCUGGGCAGUAACUGACGCUGAGGAGCGAAAGCGUGGGGAGCGAACAGG